rnacentral:rRNA from 1 species
UACGUAGGGUGCAAGCGUUAAUCGGAAUUACUGGGCGUAAAGCGUGCGCAGGCGGUUAUGUAAGACAGUUGUGAAAUCCCCGGGCUUAACCUGGGAACUGCGUUUGAAACUACAAGGCUAGAGUGUGGCAGAGGGGGGUGGAAUUCCACGUGUAGCAGUGAAAUGCGUAGAGAUGUGGAGGAACACCGAUGGCGAAGGCAGCCCCCUGGGUUAACACUGACGCUCAGGCACGAAAGCGUGGGGAGCGAACCGG